AGAGAGAGACAUGCGCGCAUAUCAAUAAGCGGAGGAAAAGAAACUAACUAGGAUUCCCUUAGUAACGGCGAGUGAAGCGGGAAGAGCUCAAAUUUGAAAUCUUCAAGGUUCUACCUUGACGAAUUGUAGUUUAUAGAAGUGUUUUCUGUUGGAGUGUGGCUAAAAGUUCUUUGGAAUAGGACAUCAUAGAGGGUGAGAAUCCCGUAUUUGGUACAUAUCUCCUAGCUUUGUGAUACACUUUCAACGAGUCGGAUGUUUGGGAAUGCAGUCCAAAAUGGGUGGUAAAUUUCAUCUAAAGCUAAAUACUGGCGAGAGACCGAUAGCGGACAAGUACCGUGAGGGAAAGAUGAAAAGAACUUUGAAAAGAGAGUUAAACAGUACGUGAAAUUGUCGAAAGGGAAGCGUUUGACACCAGUGUUGUUUUCUCGAAAAUCAAUUAAGAAUGCUGUAUUUUGAGGAUUGUAUUGACUUUAUCAGGCUUUCUGCACUCUUUCUAUGGAACUUUUUAAUGCACUUUUCGGUUAACAAGUCAACAUCAAUUUCUUUUGUUGUAAAAGAGUCAUUGGAAGGUGGCUUUCUUUUCGGAGAAAGUGUUUAUAGCCUUUGCCUCUGCAAUCGGAGAGAUUGAGGUCUGCAGCGUAGAUCCUUCGGGGUUAGAUAGCAUUUGUGCUAAGUUAUAGCCUUUCAUAGACAACUUGUUGACUAUGAUCAGUCAUGUAGCUUACUCGCUUAUGCUAUUUUACCUACGCUAGGAUGUUGACAGCAGUAUAGACUGU
rnacentral:rRNA from 1 species